AGUGAACGCUGGCGGCGUGCCUAAUACAUGCAAGUCGAACGGAGAUUAAGUAGCUUGCUAUUUAAUCUUAGUGGCGCACGGGUGAGUAAUAUAUAGCUAACUUGCCCAUUACUAAGGGACAACAGUUGGAAACGACUGCUAAUACCUUAUACUCCGUAUCUAUAUAAGUAGAUACGGGAAAGUUUUUCGGUAAUGGAUAGGGCUAUAUCGUAUCAGCUAGUUGGUAAGGUAAUGGCUUACCAAGGCUAUGACGCGUAACUGGUCUGAGAGGAUGAUCAGUCACACUGGAACUGAGACACGGUCCAGACUCCUACGGGAGGCAGCAGUAGGGAAUAUUGCUCAAUGGGGGAAACCCUGAAGCAGCAACGCCGCGUGGAGGAUGACACUUUUCGGAGCGUAAACUCCUUUUCUUGGGAAAGAAUUAUGACGGUACCCAAGGAAUAAGCACCGGCUAACUCCG
rnacentral:rRNA from 1 species